UGCAGUCGCGCGACGCACGGAGCAAUCCGUGACGGAGCGGCGAACGGGUGAGUAACACGUGAGAAACCUGUCCCUACUUUCCGGAUAAUUGGAAGAAAUUCCUUGUAAUACGGGGGAGGGUCAUUGUGGGGCAUCCCAUGAUGAAGGAAGGCGCAAGCCGAGCAGGGAGGGUCUCGCGGCCUAUCAGGUAGUUGGUGGGGUAACGGCCUACCAAGCCUACGACGGGUAGCUGGUCUGAGAGGAUGGUCAGCCACACUGGAACUGAGAUACUGUCCGGACUCCUACGGGAGGCUGCAGUCGAGAAUCUUGGGCAAUGCACGAAAGUGUGACCCAGCGACGCCGCGUGAAGGAUGAAGGCGCUCAGCGUCGUAAACUUCUUUUCGGGGAGAAGAACGGGUUUCGGCCCUUGACGGUAUCCCCGGAAUAAGCCACGGCUAACUACGUGCCAGCAGCCGCGGUAAUACGUAGGUGGCAAGCGUUGUCCGGAUUUACUGGGCGUAAAGGGCGGGCAGGCGGAUUGUUAAGUAGGAAGUGAAAGGUUGGAGCUCAACUCUAACACUGCUCCCUAUACUGGCAGUCUUGAGUCCCGGAGAGGAAAGCGGAACGACACGUGUAGCGGUGAAAUGCGUUGAUAUGUGUCGGAACACCAAUUGCGAAGGCAGCUUUCUGGACGGGAACUGACGCUCAUCCGCGAAAGCCAAGGUAGCGAACAGGAUUAGAUACCCUGGUAGUCUUGGCCCUAAACGAUGUUCACUAGGUGUUGGGGGUUUCCCUCGGUGCCGCAGCUAACGCAUUAAGUGAACCGCCUGGGAACUACGGCCGCAAGGUUGAAACUCAAAGGAAUUGGCGGGGGCCCGCACAAGCGGUGGAGCAUGUGGCUUAAUUCGAUGCAACGCGAAGAACCUUACCAGGGCUUGACAUGGAUCUGCAAGCUGACCGAAAAGCAGUCGCUUUCGAAGGGUGAU
rnacentral:rRNA from 1 species